AAUAAGCCGCCGUCAGGCUGUUCUGUUACUCGCUAGGUCACGGAGGCUUCGCCGAGCGCCGGCGAUCUUCGCCGGGAAAAAGGAGUCACGUCAGCAAUGUGGGCCCAUAAGAGAUUGGUCUCCUUCUCUUUCACUCCCUAUUAGCAAAUUAGUUUCUUUUGUCGUCUGCUGUUUUGUGGCGCGAAAUCUGGAUUUGAAUUGACUAUGGGACUCCCUUAAGGGGAUGUCGUCCCAAAAAACACUUUUUUUCUAUUACAUAAAACUUUUUGAAUAAAGUUUGCAAAUGAAAAACCGAGUCUGUAGCGCCGUAGUGUUAAGUUUAAUGAAUCGUUCUACUAAAAGAAAAUUACGAUCGGACUUUUUGUUUUUCUAAAAUCUUGGAAAUACGAACAGAUGUUUACGCGUACUUCGUCGUACUCAUGCGAUUGUAGCGCCAACCUUAAAAUCUAAUUUUACAUAAAACUUUUCAAAUAAAGCUUGCCAAUGAAAAACCGAGUCUGUAGCGCCGUAGUAUUAAGUUUAAUGAAUCAUUCUACCGAAAGAAAAAUCGAUCGGACUUUUUAUUUUUCUAGAAGUUUGGAAAUACAAAAUACCCCGUGGCGGAUUUGCGAAGCUUUUGCGCCGACAUCCCCUUAAGGGAAAAAAAGGCGGAGGCGUGAACUAGACUGACCGCUGGACGCUGACGCACAGCGCAAGUGUGCAGACUGUGCACGCUGCGCUUGCGAAUUGCGUAUGAUCAAGGUGCGUAAUUCGUAAUUCGUACAUACUUGCGUAUGAUCAAGGUGCGUAAUUCGUAAUUCGUACAUACAUACUUGCGUAUGAUCAAGGUGCGUAAUUCGUAAUUCGUACAUACAUACUUGCGUAUGAUCAAGGUGCGUAAUUCGUACAUACAUUCUUGCGUAUGAUCAAGGUGCGUAAUUCGUACACACAUACUUGCGUAGCAAGUUGAUGGCCAUACAGACCUCUUGUACUACUAACCAUAAAGAAGAAGAAGUAAGACGACUUGCGCUUAGGGUACUUUAUUAUAUUUUUUCGGAUGGGCACUUAUACUUAAUGAUUCUAGUAUUUCUAGUUGGAAAUUGUAUUCGAUUAUUUUACGCAUAAUGGAAGAGGAUAUUUUUCUGGCAGCUGAAAAAAUAUUAUCUGAUAUUGAAAAUAUCUUACGGAAGGAUACAAAUUUGUGAGCAUUUAAUUAAUGAUAGUAUAUAGGUUUUUAACUUACAGCAAACAAAUAUUUUUUUAUUUUAAGGAUAAGUUUUGAAAUAAUACCUGUUAAAGACAAUGAAAAUAAAUCGCCAAUAUUUUAUGAAAAAAAUUCACUUGGCCUUGCAUCUUGGUGCAUCCAACCUCUUUACUGCUAUGUUUAUAAUCGACUGAUAGAUCUAAGACAAAAUCUGCAUCAACGAGAAGAACCAGAAGUUAUUGCCCGAUGGCUUUUAGGGGCUCUUUUAUUAAAUCCCGACGUUUCAACAUUCUGGAAUAUGAGAAGAGGAUUGUUGCGAAGUAGUAAAAUUGAUCCUAUAAAAGAAUUACAAUUUAUAGAUGUGAUCCUUUACUUUAAAGCAAAAUGUUUUGAAGCAUUUUCAUACCGACGCUCUGUUUUGCAGUUUAUACUUAUUAAUGAUCGAGGAUCAACCUAUAACGUAGAAACAAUAUUACGAAAUGAAUUUUAUAUUACUUCUCUAGCAGCGGAAAGGUAUAAGAACAAUUCUCAUGCUUGGAGUCAUCGUGAGUACAUUAUUCGUAUGUUUGAAUUGAAAUGUACUAAAGAAAUUGAUAUUCUUUUAACCGAGGAAUGGGAAGAAUCUACAAAGUGGUGCAAUAAUCAUGUAUCUGAUUAUAGUGGUUUUGCUUAUAGACAAUUCCUGUUAAAAAAAUUACUUUUACGCGCACAGUGCCCUGAACAAUCCGAAUAUUUUCAUAAAAUAUGUAAACGGCGAGAAAUUAUUUAUGAAUUUGUAAAAAAUACUAUUAAAGAUUGUUGUGAUGCUUUAAGUGAUAAAAGUGAUGAGGAAGUUUUAAACCGUUUACAUGGUGUCAUUUCUAUAAAAUCUUCUGAAAUAACAUUUAAACAGACAUUAAUAAAUCUAUCAUAUUGGGUUGAAGACUGCAUCAUUAACGAAGAUUUACUUAACGCUUUUCCAGGACAUGAAUCUUUGUGGUAUCAUAGACGUUUUCUUGUUUUUUUAUUUAUUACUUUAAGUAAUUCCUAUGCUAAUUAUUUUACAUACAGGGUAGAAGAUUCAAAACUAUUUGAUAUAACAAAAGUUUAUAAUAAAAUAAAUAAACAUUCAGAAUCAACUAUCAUAACUGAAAAUACUUAUCAUAGUCUCUUAAGUAUGGCAUUUCGUUUGCGGAAUAAAGAUAUCAUGUUUGCUGCGAAACAAUAUGAAAAUUAUAGCAACGAUUUAGCAGAAAAGUUUUCGAACUUUCUUAUAUGCAUGAAAUUUGAAGUGUAGCAAUCAUUUUUUCUUAUAUGAUAUGUAUAAAGUAAUGUUUCAAACAAUUCUGUAAAAUAAUAGUUUGAUAAAACAUUCCUACUGAAGA